rnacentral:tRNA from 1 species
GGCGUGGUGCUCGAACGGCUAAGGGAGCGGUUUGCAAAACCGUAUGUAGUGGGUUCAACUCCCACCCACGCCUCCA